rnacentral:rRNA from 1 species
GUGAGGAAUAUUGGUCAAUGGCCGGGAGGCUGAACCAGCCAAGUCGCGUGAGGGAAGACGGUCCUAUGGAUUGUAAACCUCUUUUGUCAGGGAGCAAAAACUGCCACGCGUGGCAGGAUGAGAGUACCUGAAGAAAAAGCAUCGGCUAACUCCGUGCC